rnacentral:rRNA from 1 species
GAUGAACGCUAGCGGCAGGCUUAAUACAUGCAAGUCGUGGGGCAGCAGGGGUGUAGCAAUACAUCUGCUGGCGACCGGCAAACGGGUGCGUAACACGUACGCAACCUUCCCGUUACUGUGGCAUAGCCCAGGGAAACUUGGAUUAAUACCACAUAUUAUAUAGAGAGGGCCUCCUUUUUAUAUCAAAGCUUCGGCGGUAACGGAUGGGCGUGCGGUUGAUUAGGUAGUUGGCGGGGUAACGGCCCACCAAGCCUACGAUCAAUAGCUGAUGUGAGAGCAUGAUCAGCCACACGGGCACUGAGACACGGGCCCGACUCCUACGGGAGGCAGCAGUAAGGAAUAUUGGGCAAUGGACGAAAGUCUGACCCAGCCAUGCCGCGUGAAGGAUUAAGGUCCUCUGGAUUGUAAACUUCUUUUCUCUGGGGCGAAAACCAGCUAUUCUUAGCUAUUUGACAGUACCAGAGGAAUAAGCACCGGCUAACUCCGUGCCAGCCGCCGCGGUAAAAC